rnacentral:tRNA from 4 species
GCCGGGAUGGCGGAAUUGGGAGACGCGCUAGGUUCAGGACCUAGUGCCCGAAAGGGUGUAGGGGUUCAAAUCCCCUUCCCGGCA